rnacentral:rRNA from 1 species
CUCGUUAUAUCAGCUAGACAGUGUCUACAAGUAUUUUAGGCUCGGCUUAACAACAAUAACAUAAAGUUUGACCUCAAAUCAGGUAGGACUACCCGCUGAACUUAAGCAUAUCAAUAAGCGGAGGAAAAGAAACCAACAGGGAUUGCCUCAGUAACGGCGAGUGAAGCGGCAAAAGCUCAAAUUUGAAAUCUAGCACCUUCGGUGUUCGAGUUGUAAUUUGAAGAUGGCAACCUUGGGUUUGGCUCUUGUCUAUGUUCCUUGGAACAGGACGUCAUAGAGGGUGAGAAUCCCGUCUGAUGAGAUGCCCAUUCCUUUGUAAGGUGCUAUCGAAGAGUCGAGUUGUUUGGGAAUGCAGCUCUAAGUGGGUGGUAAAUUCCAUCUAAAGCUAAAUAUUGGCGAGAGACCGAUAGCGAACAAGUACAGUGAUGGAAAGAUGAAAAGAACUUUGAAAAGAGAGUGAAAAAGUACGUGAAAUUGUUGAAAGGGAAGGGCAUUAGAUCAGACUUGGUGUUUUACGAUUAUCUUCUCUUCUUGAGUUGUGCACUCGUAUUUCACUGGGCCAGCAUCGAUUCGGAUGGUAAGAUAAUAACAGUUGAACGUGGCUUCAUUCGUGGAGUGUUAUAGCUUCUGUUGAUAUUGCCUGUCUGGAUCGAGGGCUGCGUCUUUGACUAGGAUGCUGGCGUAAUGAUCUAAUGCCGCCCGUCUUGAAACACGGACCAAGGAGUCUAACGUCUAUGCGAGUGUUUGGGUGUAAAA